GUGCUCACUUCGGCAGCACAUAUACUAAAAUUGGAACAAUACAGAGAAGAUGACCAUGGCCCCUGCACAAGAAUGACACACAAAUUUGUGAAGCGUUGCACAUUUUU
rnacentral:snRNA from 1 species